UGAGCAACCUGCCCUUGACUCCGGAAUAACAGCUGGAAACAGCUGCUAAUACCGGAUAUGACCUCCGAUGGCAUCAUCUGGAGGUGGAAAGCUCCGGCGGUCAAGGAUGGGCUCGCGGCCUAUCAGCUUGUUGGUGAGGUAACGGCUCACCAAGGCUUCGACGGGUAGCCGGCCUGAGAGGGCGACCGGCCACACUGGGACUGAGAUACGGCCCAGACUCUACGGGAG
rnacentral:rRNA from 1 species